CAUAUCAAUAAGCGGAGGAAAAGAAACCAACAGGGAUUGCCCUAGUAACGGCGAGUGAAGCGGCAACAGCUCAAAUUUGAAAUCUGGCCCUCGGGUCCGAGUUGUAAUUUGUAGAGGAUGCUUUUGGUGAGGUGCCUUCCGAGUUCCCUGGAACGGGACGCCAUAGAGGGUGAGAGCCCCGUCUGGUUGGACACCGAGCCUCUGUAAAGCUCCUUCGACGAGUCGAGUAGUUUGGGAAUGCUGCUCUAAAUGGGAGGUAUAUGUCUUCUAAAGCUAAAUAUAGGCCAGAGACCGAUAGCGCACAAGUAGAGUGAUCGAAAGAUGAAAAGCACUUUGAAAAGAGAGUUAAAAAGCACGUGAAAUUGUUGAAAGGGAAGCGCUUAUGACCAGACUUGGACUUGGUUGAUCAUCCGGCGUUCUCGCCGGUGCACUCUUCCGGUUCAGGCCAGCAUCAGUUUGCUUCGGGGGAUAAAGGCUUUGGGAAUGUGGCUCCCUCGGGAGUGUUAUAGCCCAUUGUGUAAUACCCUGGAGCGGACUGAGGUACGCGUUCUGCAAGGAUGCUGGCGUAAUGGUCAUCAGUGACCCGUCUUGAAACACGGACCAAGGAGUCGUCUUCGUAUGCGAGUGUUCGGGUGUUAAACCCCUACGCGUAAUGAAAGUGAACGCAGGUGAGAGCUUCGGCGCAUCAUCGACCGAUCCUGAUGUUCUCGGAUGGAUUUGAGUAAGAGCAUACGGGGCCGGACCCGAAAGAAGGUGAACUAUGCCUGUGUAGGGUGAAGCCAGAGGAAACUCUGGUGGAGGCUCGCAGCGGUUCUGACGUGCAAAUCGAUCGUCAAACAUGGGCAUGGGGGCGAAAGACUAAUCGAACCUUCUAGUAGCUGGUUUCCGCCGACUCUCCCCCCUCGA
rnacentral:rRNA from 1 species